ACAGCAGUAGCCGCGGUAAUACGAAGGGGGCUAGCGUUGCUCGGAAUUACUGGGCGUAAAGGGAGCGUAGGCGGACAUUUAAGUCAGGGGUGAAAUCCCAGAGCUCAACUCUGGAACUGCCUUUGAUACUGGGUGUCUUGAGUGUGAUAGAGGUAUGUGGAACUCCGAGUGUAGAGGUGAAAUUCGUAGAUAUUCGGAAGAACACCAGUGGCGAAGGCGACAUACUGGAUCAUUACUGACGCUGAGGCUCGAAAGCGUGGGGAGCAAACAGGAUUAGAGACCCGUGUAGUCCCUGUCUCUUAUAC
rnacentral:rRNA from 1 species